rnacentral:rRNA from 1 species
GACGUAGGAUGCGAGCGUUGUUCGGAAUUACUGGGCGUAAAGGGCGCGUAGGCGGCCAUCUAAGUCAGACGUGAAAUCCCCCGGCUUAACCUGGGAACUGCGUCUGAUACUGGACGGCUUGAGUAUGGGAGAGGGAUGUAGAAUUCCAGGUGUAGCGGUGAAAUGCGUAGAUAUCUGGAGGAAUACCGGUGGCGAAGGCGGCAUCCUGGACCAUUACUGACGCUGAGGCGCGAAAGCUAGGGGAGCAAACGGG